AUGGAGAAUAAUCAGUCAGGUCAAGCUCAGGACGGCAUGGCCGAUCAAAGAUUUCGCAGCUGGCUGACAGAACAACUUAACGCGCAGCCACAUGCCGGCUCUUCUUCUAACUUAGAAGUAAUGCAGAUGCAGGUUCUGCCAUCUCACACAAAUUUUCAGAGCAUAGACACACACCCACAUGAAUAUGAUGGCUACAACUGGAGGAUGUGUGGGCAGAAAGUAGUUCAGGGUGGGUGCCAUCAGAAAUUCUACUAUGAAUGUUCUCAAGCAAACUGCGGUGCCGAGAAAUCCGUGACGCGCUCCGCAGAUGGACAGAUCAAGAAAACAGUAUGUAAGGGCAGUCACAACCAUCCACGCUCAUCAGACAGGUGGUUUCGAGGAGAUGGUUCAGCUACACUGGAUGCAAUCCCUGUUGGUGAGAUAUUACAAGCAGCAGGGGUUAUCAGGCCUUCGGUUGCAAUGCCUAGGAAUGAGGAGGAAGAUGAGCUACAAUCUGGUUCGACUGACAGCGAGGAAGAUGAGCUACAAUCUGGUUGGAGUGACAGCGAGGAAGAUGAUGCUAGUGAAGCAAGAGCUGCUGGUGAUGCCAAUGCAAUAAGACAUGAUCCUGCAGCUGCAGCUCAAGAGACCACCGCGGAGAACACAACUCAGGUUGAUGUUUUGGGUAACGGCUGUCAGCAACAUACCAAUUAUCACCGAAGUGGAAAAACAUCAGAAGGAACAAACCAUUUGCACAAACAUCUGAAGACAUGUCCUGCACAAUGUAGAACCACUAGGCUGCAGCAAAAAGGUUCAUCUUCAAGACUUAAUUCAUCUGCUGCAAAUAACAGGAAAUUUGAUCAAGAAAUAUCUCUUGAAUUGCUUAUUAGGGGUUUAGUCUCCAACCAUUGCUCGUAUUUAGUGGCAAGCAGUGCAAAUUUUAGGCAGUUUUUGGUUGCCAUCUGUCCUACUUAUAAUAUGGUGCCGCAGGCUACUUUUGAAGAGAACUCUCUAAUAAAAGAAGCAGUCCAAGAUUGGAAUCUUGAGCAUAAACUUUUAGGACUUGCAUGGCAGAAGUAUUUCCCUGAUAAAGUUGCAUUGGACUUGGAGGAGUAUAUGGCAGGAGAAGUACAUAAUUAUCUUCUUGCUAAAUAUAAGUUAUUAACUGUGCCUUGUAUGAUAGAUGCGCUUCAUGACUUAUUUGGUUACGAUCUCGGAAAUAUUGUCAAGGAAUUAAGUAAGCAAUGGUUUGGGUACAUGACAUGCUCUGCACUUCGUCUUGAAAAAUACAAGGAGAUUCUUUCGCGGAUGCACCUGAGCAAACCGUCUCUUGGUUCAAAGGGAUGGUACUUGACUUUCUACUUAUUUGAGGCUGCUUUGCAGUUUAAUAAAGCAUUCCCAUACCCUGAAGAGAUGGAUUUGAAAAUGGAUAUACGAAAACCGUCUCCUCAAAGACUAGAAGCAACGAAAAACUUUUGUGAUCUUGUAAGGCCAAUUUACCAUGCAAUUGAUCUACUUUCCAAACAAUACGUGACUUCCAACUCACAUUUUCAUGCACUUUGGAGG
rnacentral:lncRNA from 2 species